UUAACUCAAAUUUGUAUGCAGUUGGAACAGCGCCCCUAGCGGCAAACGUAGGCAAACGUUCCAAUUCCAUACAAAAUUGAGUUU
rnacentral:pre_miRNA from 1 species